UACGUAGGGCGCAAGCGUUGUCCGGAAUUACUGGGCGUAAAGAGCUCGUAGGUGGUUUGUCGCGUUGUUCGUGAAAACCUGAGGCUUAACCUUGGGCGUGCGGGCGAUACGGGCAGACUGGAGUACUGCAGGGGAGACUGGAAUUCCUGGUGUAGCGGUGGAAUGCGCAGAUAUCGGGAGGAACACCGGUGGCGAAGGCGGCUACCUGGACCGGUUCUGACGCUGAUGCGCGAAAGCGUGGGGAGCAAACAGG
rnacentral:rRNA from 1 species